rnacentral:snRNA from 1 species
AGAUGUGAGGGCGAUCUGGCUGUGACAUCUGCCACCCCAUUGAUCCCCAGGAUUGAUUCUGCUGAUCUGGCUGGCUAGGCGGGUGUCCCGUUCUUCCCUCACUGCUCCAUGUGUGUCCCUCCGGAAGCUGGGCACUCAGUCGAAGAGGACGGCCUUCCCCUAAAAGGGCUGGACCCGGUCUCCCCU